rnacentral:hammerhead_ribozyme from 1 species
GCACUACUGAAGAGUCCCAUGAUGGGACGAAACGGUCGUCCAGUGC